GAUGAACGCUAGCGAUAGGCUUAACACAUGCAAGUCGAGGGGUAACAUGGGAGUAGCUUGCUACUUCUGAUGACGACCGGCGGAUGGGUGAGUAACGCGUAUGCAACUUGCCUCUUAGUGGGGAACAACAGUUGGAAACGACUGCUAAUACCGCAUAAUGUUAUUGAACGGCAUCGUUUGAUAACCAAAGAUUUAUUGCUGAGAGAUGGCCUCGCGUCUGAUUAGCUAGUUGGUGGGGUAACGGCCCACCAAGGCGACGAUCAGUAGCCGGACUGAGAGGUUGACCGGCCACAUUGGGACUGAGAUACGGCCCAG
rnacentral:rRNA from 1 species